rnacentral:lncRNA from 1 species
GUUAAAAAGCAGAAAUAUGUAUUGAUAUGCAAUUUUAUUUUCUGUGAUCAAAUUCUUUAAAGUUUAUGCAAUAUGUAUUGGUAAAACAAUAUUUAUUGCUCGUAUACGAUAUAAUGAAUUAGGAUUUAAAGUUUAUGUUCAUAAAUAUGUUUUGAAUUUAAUAUAUAAUUGUCAGCAAAUAAUGUUACAAGUUUUUUUUAUUUAUAUAGUUUUUCAGUUUUUAUUGCUGAUUUACUCCAAAUAACAGUUGUAUACAGACCAGCAUUUAAAGAUGUCAAGAAAUUAUGUUGCAUUUCGGUUCAAAACACCAUAUCUGCAUUCAAUGUAUGCCCCAAUGGCCUGGUUAGCAGACUCUGCAAAUUGUUAUUGGCCUUGCAAUCUAACAGAGGAAGAAGAAGAGAAGUUAAUUGAAUCUUGUGUUGAACCUCUUACUGGAGUAUAUGAGUGGCAGCUCUACCAGGGUAGUAUUCUAAGAAAGAAUACAUCCAGUACUUCUAGAUUGUCUGUGUUAGGGAACUGGUCUCCUGCCAAGAGUAGAGAACAAAGUCCUACUGCCAUGGCUGCAGGACUUACUUCAUCACCAAUCAGGACUAGUAGCCCCAACAUAAGAGGUAGGAAGUGAUUAGUAAAAG